rnacentral:rRNA from 1 species
GCACCGAAGCCUGCGGCAGUUUUGCUGUUAGGCAAUGUGNUGUGCGGGUCGGCUAGCGGGACCGUCACUCCAUUCGAAGUCCAGCAUUGAGUAUGGUUAUCACUGGAUUUGGCCCAAAGAGGGUGAGAGGCCCGUACGAGUGGAGGCUCAGACAUGUGCGACGGUUCACCAGGCCGACCUCAGAGUCGGGUUGUUUGAGAUUGCAGCCCAAAGAGGGUGGUAAACUCCAUCCAAGGCUAAAUACUGGCACGAGUCCGAUAGCGAACAAGUACCGUGAGGGAAAGUUGAAAAGUACUCUGAAGAGAGAGUAAACAGUACGUGAAGCCGCAUGCAGGUAAACGGGUGGCGUCAAGCUGCGAGCCCGGAGGAUUCAGCUGAUUAGGAUGUAGUGUACGCGCGCCUGGUGCGUCGAGAGGCCGGAAUAAGAUCUGUGUGUCGGUCCACUCCUCUGCUGGGGGUGGGGCGCUGCCGGUGUGUGCAUGCUUGCGUGUGUGCGCCGGUUGUCGCUAUGCGUGCCGGAUGGGUGCCGGAGCAUGCCGCACUAGUCUGUUGGGCCGCCUAGUCAGUGCAUUUUCUCCGUGGUGAACACCACGACCGGUGGAACUGCCAGUCUGCUGUGAUCAAGUCGUGUCCUUCUGGUGUGUGUGCCCAUCCUCCUCCUCCUCCUUUCAUCGGGGGUGUGUGUGUGUGUGUGUGCGUGUGCUGGUUGGACACGAUCGCAGGUGGAGUCGGUGAACGGCGCAGUGGUGCCUCGGUACUGCCGCGUGUUAUCGUGCACUCUCCAUCCGCCUCAGCGAUUAGUGGGGUUGACUGGGUGCUGUGACAACUUCCCCAUUAGUCGGCGGAUAGCAGUGGUGAAAGUGACUGUGCAGGGCACCGGAGUUGUCCACCUCAUUCAAAUAUGGUACCCGGCACGCACGUCACAGGUGUGGUGUGGCGGGGUGCGCCGCUGUUCGCCUAGGGCUUGGCCUGGUUGCCGUGUUGCCUGCGCAAAGUGGGUCCGGUACGGGUUGCAGGCACUUGGCGGUUGCAGUGUGUAGCGCGCCUCAGGUGUGUGUGGUACCGGGGGUGAAAUAGUCAGUGGUGCUGUGGUAGACGAGCUACCCGACCCGUCUUGAAACACGGACCAAGGAGUUUAACAUGUGUGCGAGUCAAAGGGUCCUACGAAACCCCGAGGCGCAAUGAAAGUGAAGUUCAUGCUGUACUGCACGCAGUGCAGUGUGGCGAGGUGAGAUCUCCUUGUGCUCACGACACACGCCGCAGACCUUACUGGGCACUAAUUGGGGCAAGGAGCGCAUCACCGGCCCGUCGCAUGUUGUGGUCAUAGGUGCACUUGUGCGUGGAGAGGUGCGUGCGUGCGCGCGCGCACUUGGAAGCGUGCAAAGCCUGUGCGUCAGCGCGGCGGAGCAUGAGCACCCAUGUUGAGACCCGAAAGAUGGUGAACUAUGCUUGCGUAGGUUGAAGCCNGAGGAAACUCUGGUGGAGGACCGUAGCGAUUCUGACGUG